UUAGAAAAGAAAAAAUUAAAAGCAUAUUCGAUUUUUUUUAGCAUUUAGGCUUCGUUUGGAAUUGCGGGAAGAUUGAGUUACGUGCGGUGGGAUUGCGGGAAUGUUGCAUUACGUGCGGUAAGAAAGUAUAAAGAAAAAAUAUCCGAAUUGUUUUCGUACGUAGUAUUGCGUUCCGCAUGUUAUGAUGAGUCGAUUAUGAUAUAUUUUCUGUGGUCCCACCGGAAAACGCAGAAGCAUAUCCCUAUAUGCUUUUUUUUCUAACUCUAUUUUUUCUAACAGAUCUCAAUACCAAACUAAUAAUAGUAUAUAAAAAAAAUAUUUUUAACAAUCACAAACUAA
rnacentral:lncRNA from 1 species